ACUGCUUAUUGCUAUCAAAAUCCCUCACCUUAAUCUUCCCCAGUAACCACUUCAAUAGCUUCGUGCGUUCACAGACCAACUCGGCAACUAACGGUUUCACUUCAAUCAAAUUCUCAAUAGUCGCUAGGGUAUUGUAAACGGCAGCCAUCUCAUCCGGGUCCGUCUCCGACAAUCGAUGUAAGUUCUGCACCAACAGAUCAAGAACAUUGUUCUCAAUCAGGGCGUCGACCAAUACGCG
rnacentral:misc_RNA from 1 species